CAAAAUCCAAAAGAACAAAACAUCAUCAUCUCAACACAUUAACUUUAGGACAGUUUCCAUUGUCUUUCGCACAAUUCUCAUAUCAGAAUCUUGAGAAACCAAGAAAAGAAAAGAGAGAAUGUGUUUUAAUUUAGGGUACAAUUUCAAGAAGGGAAAGUUUGUUCGAGUGAAGGAAAGCGAUGAUGAUGAUGACGACGGUGGUGGCAAGGGAUUAGAAGGGAAGGGUUUGCUUUCUAAGGAGAUCCACAGAUGGCAGAAACAACAAGAGUUGUUAAAUCAAGUACAAGCAUGCAAACCUUCAUCAAAGUGCAAUCAUUUAUCCUCUUCCUCUUGAUUUAUUUAUAUUAUUUGAGUAUUUCUGUUUGCAUCUUCAAGAAAAUGUAACAUUUCCCAAAUGUUGCUGUAAGUAGGCCUUUUUGGUUUGUUUUUUGUUUUUAACUAAUAAGAUUGGCUUGCUCUAAAAAAUGGUGGGGGAAAAGAAAUACACAAGUACAAGAUGCAUAAGGUUUUCU
rnacentral:lncRNA from 1 species